rnacentral:lncRNA from 10 species
UCGGGGAGCUCAGAUUUUAAGACAGUAGCUUGCUGAUGCUCCCAGCUGAAUAAAGCCCUUCCUUCUACAACUCGGUGUCUGAGGGGUUUUGUCUGCAGCUCGUCCUGCUACAAUGGUGGUUCCUUUAUAGGAUAUUCAUGAUUCCCUACCUUGAAUCAAUGCCGCCAUCUUCCUUUUAACUCAGGGACUAUGAGAUACACAGGUCUUCAAUGCCAGUCACCUCAUGGACUCACCACCUAGUUUAUCAAGGAGAAGUUGAUGCUGGGAGCAACUACAAAAAUGAAGCUACUCUGAUUUAGAUCAGACAUCUGGCACGGUGCCCUUGUGCUAAAAUUAGAGUGCUGACAAGCCUAUGGUUCUUUCUGGAGCCUUCAGGGAAGAAUUGGUUACCUUGCGUUUUCCAGCUUUUGAGAGCACCUGCAUCCCUUGGGUCAUGCCCUUUUCCUCCAUUUUCAAAGUCCAAAACAGGAUGUCAAGUCCUUCUUUCUUUGCAUCUCUUUGAACAACUGUAGCCAAAAAGAUUCUCCAUUCUAAGGACUCCUGUGAUUUGAUUGGGAGCCUCUACAUCAUUCAGGAGAAUCCUCUGACCUCAAGUUCUGUAACCUGAAUCACAUCAUAAGACUUCAGCUGGCAGAGCAACACAAGCAGCUGAAUAUCAAGAGGUGAAGAAGCAACUGGGCAUCUGAGACUAUGGAUAGAUGCGACUUAACUUCAGACGGCACAACUUUGGAGAGGAGCCCAGAUGGAGACGACCAGGCUUCAAGGAAAGAUCACCUUCUUCUUGCACCCCCCUUUCAGCUCCCCUUCUGCUGAGAGCUACUUCCACUGCCUAAUAAAAUCCUCUGCAUCAUCACCUUUCAAACCAUUCGUGCGACCUGAUUCUUCCUGGAUGCCGAACAAGAACCUGGGAACCAAGAGGGCAGAGUAUUAGGCUGUCACCCUGACUCUCCACUAAGCUGGUUAACACUUAGCUGCCAUGGACAGCAACUCCUAAAAGAGCAUUAAUUUUAUCACACCCCUAGACGCUGCCAGGGGGCUGGAGCCCAAAAGCAUUUGCCCCAGCUCCAACACCCACUUGCCUGUGUGCUCCCUCCCGUGAGGGGUUGAGCCCAGUGGGUUUGAGUGAGUGAAGUUCAUCCCUGUUGGCAGCAAAGUGGCAGGCUGAACCCAGAGCCAGUGCACUCUAGUUCCCAUCUGCAAAAGGGUCAAAGGAACUCUCCUGUCUCAACAACAUAUUACUGACUAACACAAGCAUCUUAUGCCUGGUAGCAUCAAAUUAAGCAAAGGGUAGCCCGAAUGCCAUGUCUUCACAUUUUAUUCCACUUGGAUCUCCUGUAGAAUGGCUGUUUACCAUGGAAGGGCUGAUUCCAAUUCUCACGUUAAUCACUUACAAGGCAGAAACCAGCUAGUCUAGACUGGUAAAGGGCUUUCCAGUUCAUUCAUCAGCCUCCUCUGAUUCUCUCAGGGCUCAUUCAGAUGUUCCCAAUCCUUUCACAAGAUUACAAUUCAACACAUAUGGAAGCACAAAAAAAAAUGCUGAUUUCCCCACAUAAAUAAUAAUUAAUUACUAAUGAAGAUAAUGGUGACAGACUAUGGGACUUAAGAAAAAACCUACGAGGAUGUAUCACAAGACAAAUCCUUCUAAAAAUUAAACUAUUUGCAGACAAUCAGAAAGUCAAAACUAACAAUCUCUUAAACAUUUCUCAGAUAUGGCUGUAAUAACAUAGCAUUCCUAUAAAAAUGAACUUUUAGGUUAAAUAUAUCUUUACACAUACAUGCACUUGCACCCACAUGUACACACAAUCUAUUUUUGGAUCUACUGAAUAAAGCAUCAUUAUUUAAAGUGAAGCAAUAAAAGUUUCAACGUCUUUUUUUCUAAGUAUUAGCCUUGAAGUUAUUCACCCUAACCAAA